AGUAUCACCCGACAUCCUGCCUCCUUGGUUUACUGCUUUUUUUUUCUUUUUCUCCUUGUAAAGUUAUAACUCAUGCAACGCAAGCAUGUCGUGUUAGUCUGCUGCAUGGCUAUCCAUUCAUUCCCACAUCAUCACUAUAAAGAAACGAGCAACCUCAAAAAGAAAUACUCCAUUUUUUGUAUUUUGUGCUUUUGUUGUAUACCAGUAGUUCUAUAAUGUUUUUGAUGUUUAGCCUUGUAAUAAACUCAUUUUGUAUUAGCUUUAUGCCAAUUCAUGCGAGCCUAACUCUUUAUCUCUCUGGUAUAUAUAUAUAUAUAUAUAUAUAUACAGACAUGUAGAGAGAAAAUGAGGCUGAUGUGGAUAUGAUAUGGCAAGGACAUGCCUUUCCUCGAACAAUCGUAAGCAAUGAAGAUUUUUCAAACUUGUUGUUUGGUAUUCUCUUCCUAUAGACAACAGAACUUAACGAACAUGGUUUUUUGCUGACACGAGCAAAUGCAAGAAAUGUGUGGCCAACUGCCUAGUCACUUCCACCUCCUCACCAUGGAUAAAAAAAGAUUUCAUUCUAUACAAGCAAAAAGGACUAGCAGUCCAAUUUUGAAGCAAUUGGUUGAGACCACGUGCAUCUUUAUUAAUCUGUAAGAGCCUUUUCUUAUCCCUAUCCCAUUGUAAAUGGACCUUUCACAAUUUAAGAAAAAAGUAGCCGUCCCAUGUUGAUUGGUCUUGCAAAUGACUUUGUUCUGUAUUUUGAACAAUUUGAAAUGAAAAAGAGGCUUCAAACUUUUUAAAAGAACUUUUCCAAAAGCAACCUCAACUGUCAAUUGACGAGUCUGUCUCUCUCUCUUUAUUGUUGUCAAUGGGGCCUUAGCUGACUCAAGCCAUAGAAAUUGAAAAGGUGACAUAACCCUUCUUGAAAUACAAUUACAAGCAUAAAUAGCAUAAGAUUUCUCUGAGUUUUCUUCCUCUCUCUCUCAACUCUUCAACAUAUAGAUUACAACAGUGACAGUCUUGAGUAGAAUGAACAAGUUUGGGAAGAAAGCUGAGAAUUUUGCACAAGUUGUUCGAGAGCAUGUGAAGUUGGGGCCACAUGUAAGCGAAAGGUUAAUCUGGGAGAUAAAAUUCUACAAGUUGGUGCUGUGCAGAAAAUUUUCAGGCAGUUGUUUAGAGUUAAAGAAGAAGAGAAAUUGUUGAACCCUGUUUUAUCAGGAAAUGCUGUACAUUUGUACUGAUGAGGAAAGAUUCAAACUUCGCAGACACAUUUACUAUGUAUAUAAUUUUUCCAAUAGUCAUUCACUGAUAGCUUAUCAGUCAGAAUUGUGUGCUCUUUUCCCUGCCUGAUUUUCCCAUCUUCCUUGUUGCAAUGAGAAAAUUCAGGAAAUGUCAGCAAGAACAAUAAAAAACUUAUUUCAAUUAACAGAU